UGCAAGUCGAACGAUGAACCGGUGCUUGCACUGGGGAUUAGUGGCGAACGGGUGAGUAACACGUGAGUAACCUGCCCUUAACUCUGGGAUAAGCCUUGGAAACGAGGUCUAAUACUGGAUAUUGACUUUUCCUCGCAUGGGGAUUGGUUGAAAGAUUUAUUGGUUUUGGAUGGACUCGCGGCCUAUCAGCUUGUUGGUGAGGUAAUGGCUCACCAAGGCGACGACGGGUAGCCGGCCUGAGAGGGUGACCGGCCACACUGGGACUGAGACACGGCCCAGACUCCUACGGGAGGCAGCAGUGGGGAAUAUUGCACAAUGGGCGAAAGCCUGAUGCAGCGACGCCGCGUGAGGGAUGACGGCCUUCGGGUUGUAAACCUCUUUCAGUAGGGAACAAGGCCAGACGUUGUCUGGUUGAGGGUACUUGCAGAAGAAGCGCCGGCUAACUACGUGCCAGCAGCCGCGGUAAUACGUAGGGCGCAAGCGUUAUCCGGAAUUAUUGGGCGUAAAGAGCUCGUAGGCGGUUUGUCGCGUCUGCCGUGAAAGUCCGGGGCUCAACUCCGGAUCUGCGGUGGGUACGGGCAGACUAGAGUGAUGUAGGGGAGACUGGAAUUCCUGGUGUAGCGGUGAAAUGCGCAGAUAUCAGGAGGAACACCGAUGGCGAAGGCAGGUCUCUGGGCAUUAACUGACGCUGAGGAGCGAAAGCAUGGGGAGCGAACAGGAUUAGAUACCCUGGUAGUCCAUGCCGUAAACGUUGGGCACUAGGUGUGGGGGACAUUCCACGUUUUCCGCGCCGUAGCUAACGCAUUAAGUGCCCCGCCUGGGGGAGUACGUCGCAGCUAAAACUCAAAGAAUUGACGGGGCCCGCACAAGCGCGAGCAUGCGAUAAUCGAUGCACGCGAGAUCUACUAGCUGACAUGGACUGGAACGCUGAACAGUGCCCCGCUGCGUCGGUACAGUGUGCAUGGUGUCGCCAGUCGUUCUGAAUGUGGUAGUCCCACGAGCCAACUCGUCUUGUGCAGACGUAUGGUGGGACUC
rnacentral:rRNA from 1 species